rnacentral:lncRNA from 1 species
CCUGAGAACGAAGCCCCAUUGGCAGAGCAGGAAGAAGGCAGGAACCUGGUCUCCCGAAGACAUGGUUGAUGCCUGAAUCCCCGGAUCCUGGGGCUCAUCGCUUACUGUUCAACCUGGUCGGAGUUUGGUUUGUUGACCUCGGAGGCAGCUUAACGUAGGUAAUUAUCUCCCCAAGUCCAGCCAUCUCCUCUGACGAGUUUUAUCAGUGUCCUUGAGAAUUCUUCACAUCGAGCUUUUAUAAAGAUUAAAAAUUCCUUAUUUUACUUUGGUGCAUUGCCCCUUAAUGGGCACAGUAGGCCCACUAAUUACAGGAUACCUGAUGAGCGGUGUGGACUUCUCAGUGGUCUGGAGCGGGAGGUCUCAGGGAUGGGUUGGUGACGUGAUUUUCCGAAGGGUCUGGGCUCUCUCUACCCUUCUGCAUAGCUGUCCUCAGCUGGUUAGCUUUUUAUCCAUGGAUUUGUAGCUUCAUGACUGCAGAAUGCUUUCCACAGCUCCACAUGUCUUUACAUGCUGAAGCAAAAGGCAGAUAGGGAGUAAGUUUUAGGAUGCACAUUUUUUUUUGAGCUUAUUGGUAUGUUUUAGGGAUACAGUACAGUUACAGUCAUCAUUGGGUUCUUGUACUUUUACAUGACAGGUCUUGGUUCUCAUUUUUUCCUCACACCCCUGCCCACCCUUCACCCCCUCCACCCUUCCCUAUUAAAAAGACUUUGUUUCCAUAUUUUGUUCUUUUCCCUUAUUACCUUUCCCCCACCCUUCCCACUUCCCCUACACCUUUAGCCCUUUUCUCCCUAUUUCACAUUGCCAAUUAUACCAUUUGGAUCUUAUUUACCCUUUUAGUUUUUCACACCAGAGAAACCAUUACGUAUAUCACUUAAGCUUAUGGCCUCAAUGCAGGGUGCACCUGUUUUUGUUUGUUUCCUCAGGGACGGAAAAUACUUUCCAGAAUUUCUUCCUCACACCCUUCUCUGCCCCAGAACUUCCCUUCUGUCUUAUUGGCCAGCCCGGUGCCACACUGGCAAAUGUGGCUCAGCAAGUCUGGAAAAGAGGAUGAGGCUGCCACAGAUUCCUCACCAGGAGCAGGAACAUCCGAAGUCCUCCAAACCUGAAUUCCAGCCUGAAUUUGUUCCCACUCCAUUUCCUAUGGAAUCACUGGCCCCAGUCUCUCAUGUCCAGCAACAGACCGCCCCUUAA